GACGAACGCUGGCGGCGUGCCUAAUACAUGCAAGUUGAGCGCUGAAGGUUGGUACUUGUACCGACUGGAUGAGCAGCGAACGGGUGAGUAACGCGUGGGGAAUCUGCCUUUGAGCGGGGGACAACAUUUGGAAACGAAUGCUAAUACCGCAUAAAAACUUUAAACACAAGUUUUAAGUUUGAAAGAUGCAAUUGCAUCACUCAAAGAUGAUCCCGCGUUGUAUUAGCUAGUUGGUGAGGUAAAGGCUCACCAAGGCGAAGAUACAUAGCCGACCUGGGAGGGAGAACGGCCACAUUGGGACUGAGACACGGCCCAAACUCCUACGGGAGGCAGCAGGAGGGAAUCUUCGGAAAUGGACGAAAGUCUGAACGAGCAACGACGGGUGAGUGAAGAAGGUUUUCGGAUCGUAAAACUCUGUUGGUAGAGAAGGACGUUGGUGAGAGUGGAAAGCUCAUCAAGUGACGGUAACUACACAGAAAGGGACGGCUAACUACGUG
rnacentral:rRNA from 1 species